UAAUCAACAAAAGUUGUGGAGUUCUUGAACUGAAAUCCUCCAUAAUUUCGAUUGUAAAUGGUGGCGUUUAUUCCCAUUGUUGCAUUUAGGCUUAGGGUUGGAAACAAUUGAAAUUGAACGUUUUCUAGCUUUGCUGGUAAGGGUUUGAUCAAGGGAUCUUUAGGCUUGAAAACAGUAAAAACUAGUGUGACAGAAAGAACUACAAGAAUGAUGAGACCUAUUGCUGAAGCACCACAGCAAAUUUUGAGGUUUCUCUUUGAUCUUCUUGGUAGAGCCAUGUUAUCUCAGCUUGAAAAUGCAAUCUGCACAAUUAAUCUUCUGAUGAGUUGUUGAAGAAUGGUUGAAAUAUUACAAGCGUGAUUUAUAUACCAGUUCAAUUGAUUGAUGUGGACAAUAGGAAAUUCUUAGUACACGACUCAUUUUUUGUAAUAAAGUAGGGAUUUUUUAGCUUGAGUUAACUGUUUGGUUAUGUUGACAAGGUUGGUGUCCUUUGCCUUACGCAGUCGUCCACAUAAGGAGACGUGCGGGAAAACGAUGUGUUAACAUAGAUGAUUAACCCUCCAAAAUAUGAACAAUUGUCAGUUCAAUAUAAACUUUCAACUUUAUAACACAAGAAUAUAUAUUUAUCUUUUCCUUUGAAUUGUUAAACUUCAAAAGUUGUUCUAAUUUUUUUUUUUUGUAAGCAUAUUUGUUCUGAUAUAGAAAAAAAAAAUAGUAACCAAAAAGCUAAUUAAACAGAAUAUAAGGAGGAAUGAUUUUAGGAGAUAUUAAUAAAUUUGGUUUUGGUUUUUUAGCAAAUAAAUAAAUACAUAAACAGAAGGCAAUCAAAAAAAUUUAAACAGAGAAAAAGAAAUGGAGUACCUCUCUCAUAAACAGAAAAAUCAAGGCCUUCUGUCAAAUUACUUGUCUUUGAUAACCAUUCUUUACGUUAACUUUCAUGUAUUCAUACUCUAAAAGCAAAAGAAAUCAUACCAGCAUAUAUAUAGCUAGUGAAGACUUUGCAUAAGCAAUUUGUUUUCUUAGCCAAUAGCCAUGACUUUAUAAAAUCAACAGACACCACUUUUCAUUUGUCUCAUUCACUAAGGAAUGCAACUUUUUUUUUUUCACUUUUCGUUUCUUUUGAUUAGUAGAAACAGUCUAUUUCAGGAACUAGGAAGGAUUUUAGUCUAGAAUUUUAAGCCAGCAUAAAUAUCUUCCUUUUAUUACAUUGCUCAAUCACUCCAAAGUUUGCAACGCUUUGUAGUUUGUGUCUUUUGGGUGAGAUACAAGCGCCAAAAAGAUCAGAUUUGGCUCUCUGUUUUUAUAGGUAGCAACUUUUCAGGCUUCUUACACAGUACUUGAAGCAAAAAGGGUAAUGUGAAACUUAGGAAAAUUGAAGUGAAGAAACCAUAUUCAAUAACCAUAUACGUAUUUUUAUCUUUAUUUUGAAGAGAAAGGAGAUGAAAGCGUUAGAAAAGAAUUGUAUAAUUUCUUUUGCUUGACUAUAAAGAUCUGUUUAUACUAGCGGAACUAAGUGCCUGACACGUUACUUUUAUUCAAUAUGAAAUUCUCAUCCACUAGAAAUUUUUACACGUGUAGAACAUAUUAAACAUUAAAACUACCAAGUUAAAUUAUUCUAGAAAACAGUUAUUCCUAAUAGCAAACAAAUCAUGUGUUUUUUCAAAUUUAAGCCCCGUUUGAAAUUGCAGUAACUUAUAAAGAAACACUUUUAACACGAGCGCUUUUAAGUUACCAAAAGUUGACCUACUUAAAAUAUGAAAAAUUAAUUAUCAAAUGCUUUAAAAAUACUUUUAAUGUUUAAAAGUAUUUUUUUUUUUAUAGACGCACUGCAACCCUAAACGAAGCCUCACACAGGAAUUAUAUUUGCCGCACGUCACAUCGAAUCUGAUGAUAAUAAACGCAUUAGGAUUCAAGAUUGCUCCUUCUUGAACGUGAAUGUUAAGAAGCAAAUUGGCCAAUUGGGUUUGUUUGGAUUGAAAUAUAGUAGCCCAAAACUCACUCAAGAAAACCCAUUUGCAUCCUUUGUUGGGCUACCCUAACUGAGCCCAAAAUAAAAUCUAUAAUCCCAAACUCAAAAUUUACCCGAACUAAAUUCCAAAUGAUUAGUGGAUAGAUAAGAUUGAACGCCGUGAUUUAUUCUACCGGCUGCAUUGGGCUGACUUUUUCUUCUCUUAUUCGUUUGUGGUAAACAGCCUUGGGCUUCGAGAGAGCUACACCUUUUUAACUUAUUUUACGGGCAAAAGCUUUCUAGGAGACACUUGAUUAACGAAUUAAAUCAAAAGUAAAUUUAAUGACAAUGUAUAUAUUAUCGUUGUUGCAUAAUAUGUGUAAAUGUUGAAUUUUAAAUUCAAAUUUUAUAUAAUUAUCAUUCAUCCAACGUUGACAAUGUAUAAACUGUCAAUAUAGAAAAGAUUAAUCCUUAAAACAAAUAAUAUAACAAUAGAUUCUCCAAAAAAAAUAUACAACUAUCAGAAAGAGAAAUAUACACAUCUAAAAAACUGAAAUAUUAAAUUUUUUUGGAAGGAAUUUAAUAUGAAAUAUGUGAAGAAUCAUAACUUAACAUGAAAUGUUAGCACUUUUAUUGCGCUUUGCUCGAACUCUGUAAAUUUGAUCACAAUGAAAAAUACAGUUCCAAGGUUUAUCAUCGCAGAGUGAAAUUGGAAGUUAAAAUUCUUCAUCAUAUUUAUAAGGAAAACAAUAACGUUAGAAUUAGCUUUUAUCUUUUUUGGUUGGAGAGAAAACAACAAUAUUUUGAAGGGUAUUUAAGAGAAAUAGGUGGGAGGAUCAACAACUAAUUUAAUUCUCUGCCGGUUUGGAAUCUUUACAGACCGAUUCAUGAUGGAUAUCUUGAGCCUGAAAUUUGACUCAGUGUUAACAUUGUCGUGUUUGGUUAGACUUGAUGGAAGAAUGACAAAACAAUUUCAACAGAAAAUAUUGUGCUUUCUUGAAAGGGAGAAGAUGGUUUUCAAAUCUAAGCAAGAAUUAUCAAAAUAAAGAUUCAAUAGUGAUUUAUAUAGAUUGAGAAGAUGGUUAAGAAGAUUUUUUUAUUCUUAAUUCUUCAUAAAGUGACUUCUGAAUAUUGUCAUUGAAAUUUGAAACCUAUUAGGUGCCACGAAACAAAUUUGUGUUUAUGUUCAAAUUUUGUAGAAUUAAAAAAGUAAAAUAUAUCCCAAAAAAUUACACAAUUCAUAUUAUGGCAUGCAUGUUUGAUAAGCUGUUGAAGACGCUAAACUUAUCUUUGCUACUACACGAGUUAAAGAAAUGCAAGUUAUGGUAAUGCUCCUGCACUUGACCAUACACCAAGUAUGAUACACGAUUCUUUGAAUUAACUUUGUAACUAUAUCUACUCAAGAAAUUUUUUUUUUUACAAUAAAGAUUGGUAUUGACAAAUAUUAAUUAUGGAACCAUUUUUAUUGUUUUCUAUAUUCUUUUCGAUUUAAAUUACCGUAAGCUUCUUUUCCCUCCUCAUGCUAGACCUUCUAAAAAAUUUCUAAAUCACAAUAUUCUACCUCGAAUAAAUAGAAAAUUUACAAAACUAUGCUUUAAUAAAUGUGAUGUAUUGGCUUUCUCUCCGCUCCUCCCCUCCACCCUCUAUCUAAUAAGCUUAGUAAAAUAUAGAUAGAAACUCUAAGUGAAAAUUGACAAUUUUUUCUAGACAGUGUAAACUUUAAUAAUAAGUUAUAAUUCACUAUACACAAGUUGUAUAACUUUAUAACAACAAAAUGAAAACAUAAUGCUAUUCACAAUAAACAAGUACGUGUGAGUUGUGUUAGUAUUAUUUGAACUAUACUUUUUGAAAUUUUACUUUGUUUUCGUGAAACUUUAGGGCUUGAUCCCUCCAAAAAGAACUAUACUUUUUGAAAUUAUACUUUGCUUUCAUGACAUUUUAGGGCUUGAUCCCUCUAAAAACCAGAAAGAACAAAACUAAGGGACCGUAUUUGUUUGGACUGAAAAUAUUUUCUAAAAAAUGUUUUUCACAAUUUCCGGUGUUUGGUUGCCUUAGAACUGGUAAAAAUAUUUUACACAAGAAAUUAUUUUCCCCAUUUCGAUGUAAAACAACUUCCUUAAAUGAGGAACUGAAAUUAUUUUCCAAAACAACACAUGCAUUGUCAAACUUGAAACUCUUGUCAUUUGUUAAUACAAGAACAUUCAAUCCAAAAAACACGAAAAGACCUCAAAAGUGUGUCAUACAAUUUGCUGAAUCUUCACUCGUGACAAACUCAUCAAUGAUUUCAUUACCAACAAACUUUCGGUGUAGAUGGAAUUUUCUCCUUUUUAACAGCUUGAUUUUCCUUCUCCAUGAAGAUUCUUUUUUUUUCUAUUUUCUUUUGAAACCCCAAUCUUUUUUCAUCAAAUUGCUCUUGAUCUUUAUCCUUGGAAGUUUAUACUAUCUGAUUAUGAAAAUUGAAUUUAGAGUCUGAAAAUAUUAAUUAUGGAAACAUUUUUAUUGUUUUCUGUCUUUUACAGUCUAGUGGUACUCUUUUGGAUUUAAAUUACUGAAAGCUUCUUUUCUUUUCCCUCUUCAUUCUAGACCUUCUAAAAAAUUUCUAAAUCACGAUAUUCUACCUCGAAUAAAUAGAAAAUUUACAAAACUAUGCUUUAAUAAAUGUGAUAUAUUGGCUUUCUCUCCGCUCCUCCCCUCCACCCUCUAUCUAAUAAGCUUAGUAAAAUAUAGAUAGAAACUCUGGGUGAAAACUGACAAUUUUUUCUAAGCAGUGUAAACUUCAAUAAUAAGUUAUAAUUCUAUAUACACAAGUUGUAUAACUUUAUAACAACAAAAUGAAAACAUAAUGCUGUUCAUAAUAAAAAGUAUGUGUGAGUUAUGUUAGUAUUAUUUGAACCAUACUUUUUGAAUACUUUGUUUUCAUGAAAUUUUAGGGCUUGAUCCCUCCAAAAAGAAGUAUACUUUUUGAAAUUUUAUUUUGUUUUCGUGAAAUUUUAGGGCUUGAUCCAUCCAAAAACCAGAAAGAACAAAACUAAAAGGAAGCCAUCUUGCAUCUCAGCUUGGCUUGUUGACUAGGUAGCAAAACAUACAAUAUGUCAACCUCAUAUGUGCUUUCUUUAGAAUGUAACGCCAACAAAAUAUUAUCGUUACUUACACCACAUAUAAUCUCUGUAUUUAUUGUCUCUUGUAUUUCUUCUUUUCUUGCCGGCCUGCCCAAAAUGGCACCUAGUUACCUAGUAUUUUGGGUUAAUUUCAUUUUAGUACUCAUAACUAGCCUAAAAAUUAUAUUGAUCCCUUAAAUUGAGAGAGUUUCUUUUUUAUCCUCCAAAGUUGCAAAACAUCUCAGUAUGGUCACUCGAGCUGAAAAGGCUUCAUUUGGUCCACAAAAAAGAAAAAAAUCUCACUUUUAUUCAUCAAAGUGAAAAGAUUUCAAAUUCGUCUUUCAAACUAAGCUGUCCAUUCCAAAUUGGUCUUCUAAGCCUCUUUGCUAAAGAGAGGGGCAAAGCUACACCUUCCCAAAUAGGAGAAAAUGUACUACAACUAUGAAUUUUUUGAACACUAUUAUAUAUGCUCCCAUUAAUUGUAAGAAAUACAUACAAACAUACUACUUUAUACAUACAUAUAGAUAUAUACAUAUGUCUAUACAUAUAUGUGUAACAACUACUUAUUAUGUUCUAUAAAUGUUAUUAAUUUGUAAGUUAUGUUUAGAAAACGAAGAAGAAUUUGCUCUUUGCCCUACUCAAAGAUGAUUCUAGUUCUGCCACUAAUUGAAAGUAUUAAAUAUUUACUUGUUGUACAAGGGUUUAUUAGCAAAAGGAUAAACAUAACCACAACUAUUUUAAUUUGUCUACAAUAAGUUCUUUGCCAUUAGAUUUUUUAUUUUAAGAAUGGGAUCUUUUUGCUGGUUACUUAUGAUUUUAACAUAGAGAGAUUUGGAGGUUCAUUAAACAAAAAAUUGGUAUGAACUAAUUUAAUUCAACAAAAAAAAAAUGCACAUGUUUAACUAAAGUCAUUGAGGGAAGAGCACUUAGUAGAAAAAUGAAACAACCUUACUUAGUUUUUGUUGUUAUAGUUAUUUAACUGUUAACAAUAAAAUGGAAUUAAGGAGAUCUUGAUUUAGUGGUUAAGGUUGAAAUUCUAAAAUAUACUACUAGUUUUUAGGUUCUAAAUACUUCUAAUUCCACUCCCUCUCUUUCUAAAUCUCUCCUCCUCCCAUGUUAUAAAAAAAUUUUAAAAAACUGUUAAUAAAAUGGAUUUGGUAGACGAAAUUGGAACCUUUUUUAAGUUUGAAGGACCGGAAUUUCAGUGUUAGGGACCAUAUUAAAUAUUGUGCUAAUUUGGAAGACCAAUUAAGAAUGUUUUGCUACUAUAGAAAUCUAAAUCACCAAAUUUAGAUUUUGGAUCAAUAUGGAGGACCAAAAUAAGAUAACAACAGUUUUAUUUCCUGCACUAAAAAUUAAGAUCACACUGCAUAUUCUUUUCACUAAGCACAGCUCACGUCCAUUGUUGUCUUCAUUACAUCAUCUUUCUUCUUCUCUUGACUCAUCUUUUUCAAAUCUUCACCUCGGCCCUCUUUCUUUCCGCUUCUGCUCAGUUGAAUUCAAGGGCUCUACGUCAUGAAUGACCUUCUUAGUGUAAGUUGAUUGUGAUUUCUUGGCUAGAAUUUGAAUGUGUUGAUUUUUUCCUAUAUCAUAAAGAUUGAUCUUGAGUUACUAUUCAUUAUCUUGAUUGUUGAUUUAUUGAUAUCAUGAGGAAGGAUACUUAAUUUAAUGGUUUUUUUAAAACCUCUUAUCUUUCCAAUUUAUGAUAUCAACAUAUUAGGGAGAACCCAUGUGGAAGAAAAUGUUUAAUUUGUUUAUUUGUGAUUAGAUUGCUGAGGGGUUGAUGGAAAAGACAUAAUUUUUAAUGUAAAUUGUUUGUGCUGUUACUGAUCUGGCAAGUUAAGUCAGAUAUGUGUUUUGUUUGGAUCCCAACCCGCAAAAGUAGAGUCUGAUAGAUGUAGUCAUGUAGAGAACAUUUUUUGGUGCUGAAUGAUAAGUGUUAACUGCAAAAGUGGUUAAUAAACUUUCCUUGUUUGUGUAAUAAAGAUGAAUGUGAAGGGAGAAGGUGAAAAGACUGAAACUUUAUUGGUAGCUCAUGUCAAUCUGUUUGAGCUUGAGUUCUAUAUGGCUUUCGCAGAUGAAGUGACGUAUAUGUAUAUAAUUCCGUGGUGCACAUAGGAUGCAAAGAAAUCACAUUUUCCUCUUCUCCUGGCCUGUUUCAGGAUUCGUUUGUUAGCGAUGAGCAGCAUCCAACCAGAGGACCGGACAUUGAGAUGGGCACUCGGCUUACAAGGAAUAAUUCAGACUUGGGAAUGGAAGCUUUUAAUAAACAGGCAUGAAAUUUAGGCCUAAUUUUUUUUUUUUUUGUAGUAGUUGUUCAUAGUGGCUAUUAAAACUGGGAGGUUUUCUGUCCCAUUUAUGUUUUUUCAGUUUUCAUGAUUGGCCUUUUCAUUCUUGUUCUAGAUACAAGAGGUUGAUAAACAGGUGGACAAACUCUCUGAGUUACUGAAGAAACUCAAGGUAUGCGACUUUUCUCAGCAAGGAACUAUUCAGCUAAACAUUCAGUGUGUACAAGUAAUUUUAUUUGUUUAAUCAAAGGGUUCUAUCCUUUUUGUAUUUGAGGUGAAUUCGAAAUUCCUUGGCAUGAGACAAUUUACUGAAAUGAUGUUGCUAAAAAUUUCUGUUCUUUUACUAGGAUCUGUCUUAGUUUUGGACUCUGAUUUUAAAUCUGUGGCAUAACUAUGUUUCCAGAAUUGUGUGGUUCACAAACUGACAUGCACAUCUAAAUCUUUGAAAACCGAUUUUAGAAUUGUCGAUUUGACGAAGUAGAAUUUUUUUUUAAAAGAUUUUUGGCAAAAAUUAGGAUUUUCCAUCUUAAGAGUUUUGUCAGAUUAGAGCCUGCAAGUCAAAGGUGCAUAGACAUCUGUGUUAUUCCUAGUUUACAGAGGAAAAUAGUGAAGUUCAAAAUUUGCAGCAGGGGCAACUGCCCUUCUUAACCCCCAGGCUUUCCAUCAUUGGUUGUCUUAAGAUAAUACCAGAUAUGUGUUGAUCUAUCAUUGUCUUAAAAUUUCUUGCUUGGAUGUGGAUGAGCUUUGAUACUUGGGUUGUCUUCUCCUCCCUUAAAACUUCCCUCUGUUGCCUUCCUUUCUUCCUCUGCUUAUCUGUGAGGAGCUGAGGUAUCAAGAUUGAAUAUGCCUGGGAAAGGAUAUGUUCUUCUUUCAGGACUUUCAGGAGAGGUAUCUUUUGGCCUACCAUGCUAUGUAGGACAUAUAAGUUGAAGAUUAAAGUUGAUUAAAUUUUGUGAAACUUAUAGUCAUUUAUGCAAUUUGCUGCAUAGAAACCAAGGCAAUACCGCUGAAAAUGCUAAGACUAACAAUGCUGGCAUUUGUAAGAGAGGAUGGAAGAGAAUUGAAUGCUCUGACAAGGGAAGGUUCCAAGCUUUUAUAUGAUUUUGAAUAUCAGGAUUUCACUGGAAUUAGUGCUAAUUUGAAGGACAUUGAAGUGAUAAAAUAGAAAGCUUUUUGAUAUAAAUGACUUGGGAGUCAUGGUAUUGUUCUAGAAAGUUGAUUCAGCAUGAAAGGAUUAGUAUAAAAAAAGAAAAAGGAACAAUUAAGCAACAAGAUGCGGUUCAAUGCAUGUUGUGUGUAUUUUCCAACAAUUAAUUUCUUGCCAUGCUCAAUUUGAUACUCCUGACUGCCAAUGGGUCUUCUGUGUGAACACUAACUUUAAAGAUCAAAUUGGUCAAACUCACAGGGUAUGACUGAGAAACAUCAAAUGUUUGAAAGAGCCUUUGGUAUAUAAUGGCAUAGAUUUCUUGCUUAAUACUACGGAAGGAUGAACCUUCUACGGUCAUAUGAAGUCAGGUUAGAGUCAUUUAGGGUCAAGAAUGCUCAUUUGAAUUGCUAUUUUUUUCACGGUGUUCCUAUAAAAAGGUUGGCUAUGUUAUUUGAAGCAUGGGUUGAGCGUAAUGCUGUAUUACCUUGUGGCGGGACUCAAAAGUUAGUAGAGCAACAUUCUCCUAUAAGGAGGCAUCUCAUGAAUGAGGAAAGGUAUCUUAUUGGAAGGGGAAAUAUAUACCGGUACAUUGAAGACUAUAAUGAAGAAUUAUAGAAGAAUGUGAGUAAUUAUCAUUUUCAUCAUCAAGUAAAUGCUUGCCUUAUGUGGGGCACAGAAUGCUUGGGAAAGUUAAUAUCCAUGAAAAUGCAUGAACAUCUAGAGAUGCAUAAUAUAUCUGUGCAAGAAUAUGUUUGUUUUAAUGGUCGAUAGUGGAUUCCUUGGUUCCACAAGAGUGGAGUAUCGUUCUGUAUUUGUAUUUAUGUAUAUUUCCUGGAAAGUAAAGUUCGCAAGAAACUUAAUAUGUGCGCAACCUUGUGUACACAACAAUAGAUAUGAGUAAAUGUUUGUGUGUUUAUACUUCUUGGCAUUGUCCUGAUUGUUGAAUAAUGUUCAUUAGAGUUCUAUUGUUGUAAUUUUAUGUUUUUUCAGUGGAAAUGGUUGACUUUGUUAUAGAUUGAUGUGCUUUUUAUCUUGAAAAUGAGGUGGUUUAAGUGACAGAUGCAAAAAUGGGUUUGUAAUUGCAUCAUCUUUGUGCUCUGUCUAAGAACAUAGAAGACAAAUUUAAGCCUCAGUGUAAAAGGAGAAUAUUGGUUUUUUGGCUUGUGGUAGUUGUCUGCUCAUUAACUAUCUUCCUCUGGGUCCACGUACCCAUUUCCCAGUCAAGAUUUUGGAGCAUCCUCAUUGUGACACACCUCCAAUUUUCAUGUUUGCUUUCGGGCUGAAUGCUUUAUAUGCAGCAUCCUGCUUGUUAGUAGUUGAGCAGUAACUUACCUGGUCGUACUUUAUUCAGCCAUUGUAGAAAUUCUGUACUUUAUCAGUGUGUAGCCAUUAAUAACCAUGAACUUUGAACUUCUAAUUGUACACAUUAUAAGGAAAGGAAUGACAAAAGUUAAUGAAGGUGACCAACAGUUAUAUUAUGUUUGAGCCUAUAUGCACGGGAUCCACCUUUGCCUCUCAAUGCUGGCAUUACUGGUUCCCCUAUGAAGACAUGGAGUACAAGUUUUAGUUUAUUAACUGUGCCUACAUUUGCAGGAGGCUAAUGAGGAAUCAAAGUCAGUUACAAAGGCCUCGGCUAUGAAAGGUGGAAUAGUCUUUUCUCGUUUACUUCUAAUGAUCACAUAUCUUUUAGAUUCUGAGUGCUACAAUACAUUGACGCUUUGAGGCAUCUAGCUAUCUGACGGGCAUAUGGCUUCAUUAUUCCAAUCAAGCACAGCAUAUUGAUACGACCACAAUUUAGUAAUACAAGCUAUGAUGAAAGAAAUUGUCAAAAAGCUUAGUGCAGAUUGAAGUAGAUGAGAAACUGUGUGCUUGCCUCUUUUGUAUCAUUUGUUUGCAGUUUUUAGCUCUUUUUGAAAAAAAGUUGAAUAUAAAAUGGAUCCAAUCAAUCAUCUGGUAGUAAUUAUUUUAUUGUCCUCAAAAUUUGUUUAUUCUUGCAGCCAUCAGGAAGCGUAUGGAGAAAGAUGUUGAUGAAGUGGGGAAGAUUGCACGUGGAGUAAAAGGAAAAUUGGAAGCAUUAAACAGAGACGUAAUCAUCUAUUCAUCUUAUUUUGGAUCUCCACCAGGUUUCAGCAUGCAUAUUGUAACAGGACUGUGAACUCGUUUUUUGUCUCUCCAGAACCUGGCAAAUCGACAGAAGCCUGGGUGUGGGAAGGGAACUGGUGUUGACAGAUCAAGAACAAAUAUGACAAAGUUUGUUGUGCUUGCUUAAUUCAAUUGUCAUAUUCAAAUGGUUUUGAGUUUUGUGCUAGAAUGAAAUGUAAAAUAUUUUUCUGAAUGCAGUGCCCUAACAAAGAAGUUUAAGGACUUAAUGAUAGAGUUUCAGGUAAAAUUACAAGCUUAUGUUAUUGAUUGAUAGUCUUUGUCUUUUUUUUACGACAAUCCCUUAUUCCCUGUAUCUACUUUGGGACUCAUAAAAGAACAUUGUACCAGAAUUUGAGACAAAAGAUAGAUGAUGAAUAUCGUGAAGUUGUGGAGAGGAGGGUGAUUACAGGUUUGAAUAACUUUAACUUGCACUAUUGGCAUAUCAUAUUAAGUGUCUUUUGUUUGGUUUGAUUGGAUUUCUCUUCACCAUCUUGAUAUUAUAGCUUCCUGAUUGCAGUCACUGGAACCAGACCAGAUGAGGAGGUAAGCCUAAUACCUGUACUACAUUUAAAUUGGAUAGUACUGGUGGCUUAACAUCAAUUUUGACUGCGUCAGACAAUUAACCACCUGAUAGAAACCGGGAGCAGUGAACAAAUAUUCCAGACGGCUAUUCAAGGAAUGGGACGAGGACAGGUACUCAUGUUUGGGUUUUAGAUACGACAAGCAUUUGUUUCCUUCUGCAAAUGUUGAAGUUGUGUAAUCUAAUGCUUGUGAAGCUAAAAUUUUUGCUUAUUUGAUAAUCUGUGUUUAUCCCACCCCGUUCCCCUCUUUUAGAUAAUCUUCUUGGACUCCAGUUUGAUCAUCUCAAGCUUACUUGAUUCCUGUUAUGAAAAUAAAAUAAGCUAGAAAGAAGAAGAUAAAUAGGUUUUCUAUGUGUUGGUUGCACGUUGUGACCUAGUGAGUUCAUUUACUGGUGUCAGAUGAUCGGUAUAUCUCUCUAUAGGACAACAUUGUUAACUACAAACCAUUAUGGAGUGCCUUGAAUGAUGGUUCUAUUCCUUCAUUUGUCUACUCUUUGAACAGUUUUUGGAGGAUAUAAACUGUUCAUUACGUCUAAUACUUCUGAGAUGCUUUUACUAUAGCCCAAGAAAAAGUUGUUUUCGUUUCUCUGUGUCUGGAUGCUGCUGACUAUUUCUUUAAUGGUCUGGGUUUCUUGAAGUCAUGGGCCCUGUACCUUAGCUUAAAUUUAAGAUCAAAAGCAUGCUAGAGUAUUCAAAUUCGUUUGGGCCUGUAUUUGUGCUUCUAUAUACCAAUGUGCCCUCUUGUUCUAAUAAUUCUUAUGCAACUUUUUGAUUCCAUUUCUGAAUUAAUGAACACUGCCACGUCGUUAAGCUCUGUAGGUAAGAGGCACUUUGUUUUCUAGCCGUACCUUGGCUAAACCAAAUCCUGAUCAUCCAAGACAUUUCUCAGCUUUAACUUGUUCUAGAGAUUCUGCAAACUUAGUUCCAUGUUUUUACCGCUUUAAAGGGAGUGAACAAGGAGGAGUUGAAACCUCACUCAGUUUGAUCAAAUUGAUAAAUAGGAAAUGGGGCUUCAAUUUGUUUAACAGAGUGCAGAUGAGCUCGUGUUAUUUAACAACUGGAAUUCCAGACUUGAGUGUUAUAAACACUUUGAGGAGAGAGAGGCGUAUGAAGUUAUGUGUAGUAUUAGGGUAAUAAGUGAUCAUGCACUUGGUUUUUUAUGAACUUUUGAACCUUAGAACAAAGUUAUUCUGGUAAGGAGCUUGCAUACAAAGGAACCUCAUUGGGUUGUGCCUGUCUCUUGCCCACAUUUCAAAUGGUUGAAAAUUCGGGGUACUCUAAAUAAUAACUGACACCAAAUGUGUGAAAUUGUAAUAUUACCUUCGACACACAGCAAAUUGCCCAGAUAUACUCUACUAUAUGAACUAAGAAGUAUGGAUUUCAAUACAUGGAACCAUCUCCAAUGUUGUCUGCCAGUGAAAUCAUAACAUAUUGCACUUUCUAGAACCCACAGUGACACGAAUCUUGUUUGGACUUCCCCUGGAUAAACUCAUAGCUGUGACUCUUUUCAUUGUUUUAUAUUCCAUGGUUAACGUAUUACAUAUCACGCAAAUGGGUUUAACUCAAAUUUUCAUGGUCUUUAUGGAGUAUCAAUGUCUUGAUUUCAGGAUACAUAGUAAAAGUAUGUAAGCAUCGAAAUAAACCAAAAAAAGGUAGCCUUCUAAUGAUAUGAUUAUAGAGUUUUCUUACAGCUAAAUCACUCCCUUUGUCUUGGAGAUAUUGAUGAGUAAAAUUUUAGUAAAAGAUUGGCAAAGAUUCUGGUGAAGCUGAAACAGUUUUUCUUGUCUUUUUCCUUUCCUGAGCUUCUUAGUUUGGCCAUCUCUGAACUUGUAUAAUUUUUCUCUACUGAUUAUAAGAUGUGGAAGAAAUCUUGGGACAAAGGCACAGUCAUGUUCUCUGAUUCUGAUAGUGAAUUGGUCCUUCUAAUUCAUACUCCAAUUUUUUGAGGCCUGUAUUACCAAUUCUGAUUCUUAAUCUUGCCCAAUGUAUAGUUGGAUGAGUUCUGGAUCUUGCCUCUAUAUAUCUCUACACUAAGUUUUGAUCAUAUGCUUGUUAUUUUCGAAUAAGAGCCUUCAUGAGUUCUUCCUUUUCUCAAAAUUAUUUUUUGUUCUUCACUUGGAAACUUAAAACUCACAUUUCGUUUGUUUGUUCCUUCUCGUUUCUGAUGUUGUAUGCUUUGUAUUUUGGACCUGAUAAAGACUCGUUGCAGGUGCUAAACACCUUAGAAGAAAUUCAGGAGAGACAUGAUGCUGUCAAAGAAAUUGAGAGAAAGCUUCUUGACCUGCAUCAGGUUGUUAUCUUUAAUUCCAUAAAGCACUAGAGAGCCUUCUUUUUCUCAUAGCCUUUUGUUUGCCCUGCGAGAUCUGAACCUUUAAAAACCACUUGUUUGACAUGACUGUAUUCUGCAUCAGAUUUAUCUUGAUAUGGCUGUCCUAGUUGAAGCUCAAGGAGACAUGCUGGAUAACAUCGAAACUCAGGUUUCAUUUCGAUCUUCCAUCAUUUUUAUAGAUCUAAACAUACGAAGCUACAAAAUUCGACGUGAAUUGCAUUAUGCCGUGUUAACGGGGAUCUUGUUCAGGUGUCAACUGCAGUCGAUCAUGUCCAAAGUGGGACAACUGCACUUCAGAAUGCAAAGAAACUUCAGAAGAAGUCUCGAAAAUGGAUGUGCAUUGCCAUUAUUAUUCUCUUAAUAAUAGUAGCUAUUAUAGUUGUUGGGGUAAUUAAGCCCUGGAAGAGCAAGGGUGCUUGAGUUUGAGUCCUUUUUUUUUUUUUGUGCAUUCAAGUUGCCUCCAUAUAGAUGUCUGUAAUUUUAGUUGUCAGAAAAGCCUCUCACUUCCGGCCAUUCUUGUGUGUUUGUGCAGUUUUAUCUCCUGCAUUGUCUGAUUUUCUUCUUCUUUUUUUCUUGUUCUUUAUAGUUUCAUCACUUGUGUAAUAUAUUUGUUUUCUUGAUGAUGCUGAUUUGGUUUGCCAAUUUGUAUGUGAGUUGCACAGUUCAUCCUUCUAUCAUGAUGAAAAAGUAAGUGGCAUUCAUUUGUGACUAAUUCUUUGAACGUGUCUUGGCUUCUUUAAUUUCACAAAAUAACAAACAAAGGAUAAAAGCAAGAAAGAUUUUCUCUUGUGGAUUUUUUUUUUUUUUUUUUUUUUUUUAAAAAAGGGGAGUAGAUAAUUUAAUUUUCUUGAUAUGUUUAAGAAAAUUGUUCACAUAUGGUUUCAAGUAUGAGCAGACACCGUGUGGUCAAAGUGUGUUCUAACUUCUACAUCAUCAAGCAAAGACUAAAGAGGUACCUAGUUUCAACCCUUUGACCUCUACCCCAAAUAUUUACCUGUAUUAUAAGAAAACCUUUUAAUAUAUUUUUAAACAUUUUUUUAAAAAGUUUUUUCCUGAUAUUUUACAGUCUUUUGUAAAUACUUCAUUUUAAUUGAAACUAUAAUCAUGAAGGAUUCAGACUUCAACUUUUGGAUCCUACUGAUACUCCCUAAAGAAGAUGGAAUGCUAAAAAUUUGUUUGGAUUGCGAUUUUUUGUACAAAAUUUUUUACGUUUUUCGUGAACAUAUUUUUUAAUUAUUUUUUUAUUCUACAUAUAUCAAAUUAUUAUGAUACAUUUUUUUUUUUCAAAAACUUUUAAAAAUAGCAAUAAGUACUAAUUUAUGCAAGUAUUUGCCUUCUAUCAGUUUUCUAUCAUCAAGUGCCAAGCAUAACCUAACAGCGGAGAAGACUUUAAGUGCUCUCUCCUAAGUCGACCCAGUGAUUUUUCUACUAGUAGCUUUCAACAAUAUUAAGUCUCUCCUGAGUCGACCUAGUGGUUUUUUCAUUAGUAGCUUUCAACAAUAUUAAGUCCGUAAUAUAUCACCUUUACUUUUCAGGUAUUUAAUCCUUGAGGAUGUCGAUUUCAGCUAUUUUUACUGUCUUUUGAGGAUUUCUUUGGGCCAAAUCAAAAUUUCUUGGGUCAGUGGAAAUGGCCAGGUUUUCUUUUGAAUUUCAAUGCGUAUACACAGAAAUUAAGUCUUACUUUUUGAAGGAAAUGACAAUGUUCCAAUCCAAUUUGUUCAACACUUCAAUUUUUUUUUCUUUUGUAUUAGUAAUAAGAAAAAAAAAUAAGAAUUUCCUUGUAGGUUUUGCUUAGUCUAGUUACUGUACAAAUGAUCUAGCCUAAUGAUUAUGGACUCUUUUCUUUAGGUUCAAUUUUUGGACGGGAUCAAGGGUACAUUUUUGCAAUUUGCAUCUAUUAAUCAUCUACAGUACUUAAUGUUUUACCUACUUAAUUCAAAAUGAGUUGAAUCUUGCUCAGCAUUAUGGUCCAAUUUGACCUGAAUCAAUUAUAAUAAGUAAGCAAUUACUUCUUUAAUUCUUUUUAUUGAGAAGGAGACAUUUGCUGGCUUACAUUUAAGGUACGGAUUUAUCCUGUUCUUUAGAAAAGACCCUUGUUUUUUCCACCUUCUGAUUCCCCUUAUCACCAAAUUUUCUUGAUUUAUUUCUUACAUCCACAUUUGGUUCAUUUUUAAGCAGAUAAAAAAGAAAGUUGUUUCUAUGAGCACCCUUGAAGAUGAGACUUUUAAAUAUUCUUAUUUUUUUUUAAAACGCUCACGGGGAAAUAUAAUUCUUGGAAAACCUCAAAAAAUAAUUUAGGGGUUACUUUUUUCAUUUUAUUUUUUUUCAAGUUGCUCUGAAAAAAAAAUUAAACCCAAAUAGAAUUAGCAAAUCAUAGUUCUAAACAUAAAAUCCAAUUUGUAAGCAAUGCUGAUCAAUAGUUAUACCAUAUCUUGCAUCAAUAUACUCAUAUUUUCUUAUUUUCUUGUAUAACAAAUGAAAGUACUAUGGAUAUUUCAAGUGGCCAAGGGUAGAUGAAUGCAGGUUCACUUCAGAGCACAAAUUAGGCUUUUGUACUAUAUAAAUUAUUCUUCAAAAUAAAUUUUGGACCAAAACUUUAACUUAAAUUUCAUUUUUUUUUGGUUAAAAUAUGAUUUUCUACUUAGCUCUUUUGAUUUAGAGAGAGGUUAUUUCGUUUGAUUAAAAGAAAAUCAUAUUCCAAUGCUAUUUCUUAACCUUCUCUUAUAAACCUCAAAACCUCUAUCAUUGGGUCCUGUUUCUGGCUCUAUAGGUCAAGAAUAUGCAUUAUUUUGGGUGUAAACCAACCCAAGAAAAGAUACUAUAUUAAUUGUCAUAAUAUAUAUGUACAUGUUUAUCUAUAUAAAUCUUGAAGGAGUAUAUGCAUUUGUGUUUUAACAUGAAUUUCUUCAUUUUUCUUGGGACUAAAUGCUUGCAUUUUCAUGUGGUUCUUGAAAUAUUCUGCCCUCUCACAUGGCCACUCCUUAAAUUUAGCCAUGUAAAAUUCUAGUUUUUUUUUUUAUCCAAUUCUUAGUGUGUGUCUGUGUUUUUAUUGCUUUUAAUUUUCUUUUUCAUUUUUUUGAGGACCAUUGCAGCAUUUCUCUAUCUAAGACUUCUUUGUUUUGCAUAUGUAAGGCUUCUUUUUUAUUAAUUUGUCCAUAAAAGUGAGGAGGAUGACAGGUGCAAUGUACCAUACUUAUUUAGGUUAUUAAAUUGGUAGGUUGUAGCCAAUUUCAAAUUGAAUUGGCCCAUCAAUAGUUGUUUUUUAUUUUAUUUUUAUUUUUUAUGAAAGACCCAUAAAUAGUGGCUACACUACAAAAUUGUCAAAAUUUGUCCAACCAGGAAUUCAUCAAUGAACACCACUAUAGUGGUCAUCAUCUACAUUUUAUACAGUCAAUCAUUAUUUGUAUUUUCUUUACUUUUUUCAAUAUAUAUAUAUAUAUGCAUAUAUACAUAUUAUGUUGGUAAGCUAUAUAUAUAAACUUAUAUAGCUUUAGCUUGAUAAGAAUACACAAAUCAAGGGGUAAAAUUCUUAAAAAAAUACAUAACACCUCUUAACUAGUAACUGCCUACAACUUUUGCCAACUUUUUUAUAUUAUAAUUUAUGAACUUUCGAUUAAUCUUUUGUACUCAUCAUCCUGUAAUACCAUUUUACAUGAGAAUAUUUAUUAUUUUUUUUGCAACAUAAUGUGGAAAUCAUUCAAUAAUGUAUCUUAUCUUAUGGAGUCUGCUAUCUAGGAUUUGUUAUUUCUGUCAGAGUUUGCCAGGAGCUGCAUGAUACUAAUUUACUCAUCUAAUUACAUUUUUUAGGAACAUAAAGAAACUAAUAGCUAGGUUAGAAGAAAUGUACUAGAAAAACAAUUCUCAUGUUGCUUUUCUAAGACUUUCUGUAGAUUGAGAUGGUCUUCAGCCACCUUGUACAAUUCAUUCUUUUUUUGCAGUAUUAGCAAUUGGUCCAAGAAAAAAUUGCAUCCACAUUCUGCACUAAUGGUUGGAUGAUUGAUGUUUUAGGCUCAUUGGUACGUUUUAUGGUAUCUUUGUAGGUUAGAAAUGCAGUGGACCAUGUGCACAUGGGAACAGAUGCUCUUCAAACUGCUAAGAAUUUGCAGAAGAAAUCAAGAAAAUGCAUGAUGAUUGCCAUGAUUUUGUUUCUGGUUAUUGCAGCAAUAAUCGUAUUAUCCAUCCUGAAGCCUUGGAAGAAAUGACAGCAGAUCAAACAACUAAUGGUAACUCUAGUGCUAAAUUUGUUGUCCAAUUCUCUUGUUACACAUACCACUUUCUCACAUGUAUGGUAUCCAGAUUCUUUUUGAUUUCUUCAUCUCCCCAAUAAUCCCAAGGUGUCUGUAAGAUUAUUAUCAGAUACAGCCUCCAAUGAAUGAAUAUAACACAAGAAUUUUUUCGUUCCAGUGCUCUCAGAACCCCUAAGCGUUUGUUUCUUCCUCAAAAGAACAAAUUCGUGGUAACAUGCACUUUUUCUUUUCCAGCUGAGUUCUCACAUCAAUUUUUGCCCUAUUACUCAGAUGAUCUGACUUAGAUCAGACAAGUCUAAAUUGUUUGGUUAUUGUGGAGAAUAUGACAAAAUCAUAGUCUACCUCAUUCUGCUAAUUCUGGAUGGUCCUUGCAUAAUCUGGAGUUAACUAGUUUGGUUUGCUUUAAAAAGCAAAAAAAAAAAAAAAUUGGCGAUGUAUGAAACUUUAGAGGUAGCUUCUUGAACCAUUUGGCAUUUCUCUUACUGUUUGAGGACAAAAGAUUUGAGCUGCUUCUAAAGCCUAGUUAUGUGAUAAAAACUAAAAGGGUACUGGGAUCUAUUUUAUGUAUUGCAAAGGAAACUUUAAGUAUCUGUAUCUAGCUUUUUUGCAUUAUCUGAAUAGUGGGUACAAAUACAAUCUGUGGCAAGUAUUCUAGGAGAAUCAUCCAUCAAAGUACAUUUGAUCUUUUUCAAAGUCAUGAUGUGGUUGCUGAGCACUGAUUGCAGGAUGAGCUUGACAAGUUGUAACAUAUAUAUUCCAAUCAAAUGGAUUCAAGUCUCAAACAGAUGCACUUAAAGCAUGAGACUAUCCAACAAUAUUUGGACCCAAAAAAGUUGGCCAUGAUAAUCCAAUCACCUAUGAAAUUAUUGAAAGCAUAAAAACACAUAUUAUUAUGCACAGUUCAAGAAAUGGAAACACAUAAUUGUCAAGCUUUCCCAUCAUUAUACUCGGAAAUUCUCUCACAAUCUUGACUUUGCAAUGACAACGCUAGCAGCAUCACCAAUGUCUGUUGCUCCUGGCCUAGUCCAUGUAUCUUUGAACUGCUCUUCUGUCACUCCUGUGUAAUUAAUGAAUCUGUUAGUCUCUUUUCUGCUCCUAAGAUAUGAAACUAGGACAUGAAUGUAAUAUACUGAUAAUAGUGAAGAAACAAAAAUUAGAAAGGGGAGGAUGUGAUUUGCCUUUGCCCAUAGCAGCAGUGGAAGUGAUGCCUCCCUGGACCGUCCUCAGGACUCUGUCAUAGUAAUUUGCUCCAGACCAUUUCUGAUGGGCUAGUGUAUCAACCUCAUGGUUCCUUUCCUCUCUUUGAAUUUUCUCCACAUAUGCAAGCAUUCCUCUUCUUGCAAAAUCCUUAGCAAAUGUGUCAACAAUAAGAGCAUCAGCAUGGAAACCAGCCACGGUAAUGAACUGCCAACAAUAGCCCAAUUUGGCAAUUCUGGGAAUGAAAUCUCUCAUCUGCUCAUCAGUCAUUCCUGAUGCAUCCCAGUUGAAAGAAGGUGAGAGAUUGUAAGCCAACAUGAUCUCAGGGCACCUGGACCUCACUCCUUCAGCAAAUUUUGUGCAUUCAACCAAGUCAGGGCCAGCAGUCUCCAUCCAAAUUAGAUCAGCGUAUGAAGCAAAAGCCCAGCCACGAACAAUAGCAGCCGUCACAGAUCCCUUAAAUCUGUAGAAACCCUCUCUGGUUCUAGGCAGGUCCCAAUCCCAGAAAAUAUUAAGUCCCAUUCUUUCAGCAAUCAGUCUUCCUUCCUCGUUUGACAAGCAUUUCUCGAAACUUGAAUGAUACAUCCACUCGUCCAACCUCCUCUGCUUCUCAGCUUCACUGAUAUUCAUCCUCUUGAUUCCAUCAACUACACAAUCAGAAAAUGUUUUCAAUCGUGCCAUUGAUAGCCAGUUAUCCUCAAUAGCUUGAAGCUCUGGUCCUGUUUUACCAGCAGCCAUUGCUUCACCUAGGAUAGUGGCUAAACUCUUCCCCUUGAGUUGUGGAUUAGUAACACCCAAAAUGAACUGAUGAUCUCUAGUAUCAACAUUGGUUUGGAUUAAUGUUGCGGCUUCCGCAUCGGUACGAGCAACUAAAACUGUCUCUGUACCCAUGAUAUCAAAUUGUAGCCUGGCAGCAACCAGCCUAUUAACGUGUUCACUCACUGCAACAAGAACUUUGCCAGCCAUGUGACCGCAUUUUUUGGUAACGGAGGACUGAUCCUCAAUAUGGACUCCAGCAGCUCCACGUUCCACAAAAAGCUUGCAAAGCUUGACAGUUGCAGUUGCACCACCAAAUCCAGUAUCGCCAUCAGCAAUGAUGGGCUUCAAGUAAUCAAUAUAUGGAGUUCUAGCCCUCUCUUCACGGCUCAUGCCCAUUCUGGCCUCCCUUUGUUUCCUGUCAUGGUAUUGUUGAGCGAAAAAAAGGUGCUCAACCUUGUUAGGAACGGUAUCAUAGGGAUAAUCAGCAAGGUCAGGUCCUGGUUCAUUUGAGGUAGUGUGGGUGGAUGAGCAUUGCCAGCCAGAGACAUAGAUGGACUCCAGAUGCUUGGCCAUCAUGGUGACUUGAACAGGAUCAAGAGCACCAAAGGUUCUUGAUGCUGUGCCAUUGGCCUGGUGAGUUUUG
rnacentral:lncRNA from 1 species